rnacentral:lncRNA from 1 species
ACAGGCAUUUUUAAAAGAAAUCUGAGAGAGGCAAUGGAGUCUUACUUUUCCAAGCAGUAAGGGAGGAUGCCAGCAGCAAGCACGCGUUGCAUUCCGUAUUUCCUUUGCUUCCACUCCUCACUGCUGGACUAGGAGGGAGAUUUGCAAGGCCGAGAUGGUUUUAUUUUCCUCUGUAUUUUGCGAAUAGUACCAGCGUUUAGGUGGCUGCCUUGUCAGAGAAAGCUGCAUACAUCCAAGGAACAAAUUACCAAACCAUAUUUUUUUUUUCUGUUUUCAGAGGUAAGGAAGAUUUGAGUUUGCAGUCUUCAAGUGGGGACAAGUUUGUGUUUUAGCAUUUCCCAGGUAUCUUAGACGACGUAGGAAGCUGAUUUUGUGCUCUCAGAAUGUGUUGAUCUCUAAUUACCGCACAUCUGAACUUGUAUCAGUCUAGAGAAGGAAGCUAUUUAUUAAGAGAUAAGAGUCUAAGGCAUUUUUUUUCUCCUAGACUAGAAGGUUCAUGCAAAUGAAUGAUCACUGAGUAAUUCCUGCCAUGAAAAUAAGGCCCGUUAUCAAAAGAGUAGCCAAAUAUUAUUCCAGAUUGGAUGCAUGAGUUGAGAGAAAGAAGAAGAGAGGAUCAAAGCUUUUCCAAAAAGGAAGAGAAUGCCAAGACAGUAUAUGAUCAUUUGCUCCUAUAACAGUUAGUAGUUCACAGCAAAUGUUUUUAAUUAAAGCAUGGAAUAUGGAAAACAGAAAAACUAAAAAAGCUAGUGCUUUAGUCUCAUCUGAAAUUCUGUGCUUUCCUAGGUUCUCUUCAGACCCAGGCAUCUUGUUGCCUCUCUCCACGAGCUCUGUCACGUGGCUCUUUCAGACUGCCCACCCCUGGGUGCACAGAAAUUUCAAGCAUUAUUUUUGA